GACGAACGCUGGCGGCGCGCCUAACACAUGCAAGUCGAACGAGCGAGAGAGAGCUUGCUUUCUUGAGCGAGUGGCGAACGGGUGAGUAACGCGUGAGGAACCUGCCUCAAAGAGGGGGACAACAGUUGGAAACGACUGCUAAUACCGCAUAAGCCCACGACCCGGCAUCGGGUUGUGGGAAAAGGAGCAAUCCGCUUUGAGAUGGCCUCGCGUCCGAUUUGCUAGUUGGUGAGGUAACUGCCCACCAAGGCGACGAUCGGUAGCCGGACUGAGAGGUUGAACGGCCAGAAUGGGACUGAGACACGGCCCAGACUCCUACGGGAGGCAGCAGUGGGGAAUAUUGCAAAAUGGGGGAAAACCUGAUGCAGCGACGCCGCGUGGAGGAAGAAGGUCUUCGGAUUGUAAACUCCUGUUGUUGAGGAAGAUAAUGACGGUACUCAACAAGGAAGUGACGGCUAACUACGUG
rnacentral:rRNA from 1 species